rfam:Erwinia sp. Leaf53 contig_6, whole genome shotgun sequence.
CACGGUGUUUAAUCGUGAAGGAUGAGAACCGUAAAGGUUCGGGUCGAGCGAAAGCGAGACAACGUUGCCAGUGGCAACGGCCCGAAAGGCGAGGCGUCAGCCGAGUCAUCCUGCACGACCCACCA